CCUACUUUAAGUUCGACAAAAACUCCACUCAGCAACACUUCAUCGCCCAUCACAGCUCAACCUGCACAAACAUAAACAUACGUAGGCUAAGUACAAGAGUACUUAGUGGGCAGUUGCCAAGCAUAUAACAUAACAUCAUUAAUAACAUAACACAACAUCGCAUAAGAGGCAUAAGUUUCUUUCAUAUCCUUUGCUCAUUAAACAUUUCCAAAUUCAUAAAUAGCAUAAGGGCAUUCUUUAACAAUCAUAAACAAACAUCGUGUCGUGGAGAAGGCCUUCCCCAACGAACACGGGCAUCGCGCCGUGAGGGGGAGCCUCCCUCAGCGGUCACGGCAUCGUACUAUUGAGGGAGGCCUCCCCCAAUAGACGCUGUAACACUGGCAUACUGGCAUCGCGCCGCUAGAGAGGCCUCUCUCAGCGGACACGGGCAUCGCGCCGUGAGGAAGGCCCUCCUCAGCGGACACGGCAUCGUACUGUUGAGGGAGGCCUCCCCCAACAGACGCAAGCAUCAAACAUAAGCAUAAACUUAUCAGCGUAAAGCAUUCAAGCGUAAAUAAGCGUAAUCAAGCGUAAAUCAUUUAGCGUAAAGCAUAAUAAAGCAUACCACACUUGAAGAUCCAAUUUGCAUUUUAAAGCAUAACACAUGCAUAGCAUUUUAUUUACGCGUAAGAAAUUGCCCACCUGAUAGCAAAGUUUUGCUAAGGUACUGUGACUCCUUGAAUAGUUCUUACUCUCGUGCUUGACCUUAAUCACGAGAAUAUAAAAUAAGACAUUGCCUCGAGGAAAAUUCUUAAUUAAUGGGAAAGCGUAAUUGUAACUAUGCAUGAAUCUUGUAUGCAUGAACUAAUCUUCUGAGCGAUAGUCGGAAAUUCUACUAUUAAUCCUCGUUAAUAGAUUUAGCUAAUUCUCGUCUAGCGUGUUCGAAUAAAGUUGUGAUCCUUCUUUUCCCAUCGGAAAAUUCUCAUUGUAAAAUAAAUCCCGCCUUGUAUUUGAUCAAAAUAAAAGAACUAACUCGGCUUCAAUCGAGGUGUGACCUUGUAGAAAUUAUCGGGCUUUUCGAUAGAAAUAUCAUUACUAAUGUAGCCUCAAAUAAUUAAUAGGCUCAAAAGAGAGUAGCCAAUUAAUUAAAUAAAACAGUGGCUAAUGAAAUAAACAGUAAUGGCUUGCUUUAAAUUCUGAAGUCCAAAAACAAUAUUUAAUAAACUAGGCGGCUCAUUUGUUGAAUAAGAAUCGGCUCACCCACUAAUAAAUAAUUGGGCUCAAAUAAAUAAAUCAUGUAAGGCCCAACUAAAUAAAAUUUCAGUCCAUAAUUUAAAAUUAGCCCAAGAAUAGAAUGAAUUAUUCUGAGCUUAAAAUUAAAUAAAACUCGGCCCAGCUGAUAUGGUACAGCAGCCCAAAGAAUUAAAAGACAAAGCCCAAUUCCUGAAAUGAACUCGGCCCAACAAUAUAUGUAUAGGAUUUGGAAAUAGAAGUCCAUCAACAACUAUAUCUCAGCCCAAUAGUUAAAUAAAUCGGCCCAAAACUUUAAAAUAAUUCGAGCCCAAUCAGUAAUUAAAGGAAAAAGGCCCAAAUAAAUAAAAAGACUGGCCCAGUUCGAAUUUAACAUAGGGAAGCCCAAAUCUUGGCUUGCAAUACUUAAAAUUGUGAGGCCCAAAAUAAUUAAAAUUGGAAGCCCAAUUUAAAAAAAACAAGCCCAAAAUUCGGCCCACAUAAAAGUAGAGGAAAGCCCAAACAAUUAAAAUUUUAAAGCCCAACUCUCUCUCUUUCUCUCACAAACUAUCGGACUCUCUCUCUCUCAAAACAAUUCACGCCUUUCUCUCUCUUUUCUCUCUCUCAAGGAGCUGCUCGCCCCUUUUCGAACUCUGCGUUCGAUCGGCCCUCCCAAAAAUCGGCCGGCUUCUUCUUCCUCAGCCGUUCAGCCAUCACUGCUCCAGUCAGCUUCGACCGGCGACGAGUCUUACCCCGGCGUCGGCCUUCUUCCCUGUACUUCUGCUGAAUACGCCCAAGGGGAAAAAUAGGCGAGCCCAAGUCUUUAAUUACCAGGUCGCCGCUGCAUCUUCAUCGGAAUCCGGCGAGCGGUCGCCUCCUGGAAGCAGCGCCGUUCGUCUCCCAUCCUCAUAAAUCCCUCUCUGACGUCGAGCCCUAGAUUUCAGAGAAGGGAAAAUCGCCACGGUGAAGCGACCGCCGCUCCGGCCCUGGUACCGGUCGGACUUCGUCCCCUCCGGUUCGGUAACGCCGUAGCUGUCAUUCCUGGGUCUCAAAGAGGUCGUGUGUGUUCGUCCCUGUCACAGUUAUCGCCGUCUAAGUCUCCACCGAACGAGGCAAUCGGCCCUCCUCCUUUAAAGCUAAGUUCCACUUUCCUCUUCUUCUCUAGUUUCUAGUUGUUAAGGGGAAGAUUCUCAAGCUUCCUGUUCUGAAACUUCAGCCCGCCUCUGCCUUCCUCCAUCUCCGGCGAGUCAGACGCCGUCGGCCACCGGUCUCACCUGCUGCCGUUGCUCUGAUGCAGACGAGAUAAUCGAGAGUUCGCCGUUUUUGUUAUCGGUGUUCGUCACGGCAGCAGGGGUUCGCCGUUUCCUUGGUUCGUCCGAACCGGCAGCCGGCACUACAUCUUAAAGCUAAGUCUUUGUUCUAUCUUCCUCUUCUUCUUUGUAUAAAUCUUUAUAUAAACAAUGGUUUGUGGUUUGAAGUUAAAGGGGUCUGUUCUGUGUUCCUAUUUUGAUAAAGUUAGAGAUUAACUAGGAACUGUGGUUUGCUAAUGUUAUAAGAAUUCUCAUCGUCUGACUCAUGUGAAGAAAUGUAAUUACAUAUGAACUGAUUUCUGUGCUUGUGACUUUGCUAAGUCCAUAACCUAUACUCAUUUAUACAUUCAAUAUUUCUACUUAAUCAUGCUUGGUGGAUGAAUUGCAAAUGGAAUUCGAAUGAAGGGAGCUUAGUAUAUACCUGUAAUUGCUUGUUGUUGGUGGCUGUUUGUUGCUAUUGAAUUUAAUGAGGAGAUAGCUGAAAUUUUCAGAUGCUUAUUGACAUAUGCAGAGGAAUCAAGAAUGGACUGGUGGAAAAACUUAAACCAAACCUUACCUGUUCGAAGUUUGGCAGCAGUAAUUGAAUUCUCCUCCCUUUGGUGGUUGAAGGAACUAGUAGUCUUAAAGAAUUGAAGAUGGUGGGGAGCAAAGAGUGGUGGGAAGUUUGGUGGAGUGGAUGGUGCUGUCGUAGGGUGGCUUAAAAAAAAACUCUCUAGGUGGUAAAAUUGCUGUAAAGCUAUUCUGCACACACCUAGUACACGUUUGGUUUGCCUUCUUGAUGAAGUAGGUAUGAAAUAGGGAUGUAGGGAAUAAUAAGUUGUAAAGUUGUGAUGUAAUUAUUAUAAAAUCCUCAUUCUGUAUUUGUAAUACUAAUUUCGGGUUCCCAUAUAACGAAGCUUCGUUAUAACUCUCUACGAAUUACAUAUUAUAUAACUCGUUUUAUAAGUCGAAAAUUAAUCACGACUUCAAGUAAAUAAUAGAAAUAAUAUUUCUAUUGCACUUAAUAAAUAACAUGACUUUGCUAAGUCAGUUAUAAUCUGAAAUAAUAAUUAUUGAUUGCUCAAUAAUCCUCAUCGCGUUUUUCUCAUACGUUAUAAAAGUAUAAGGCUAAAAUAAUAACUUCGUUUCUGAUAAAAAAAAUCAGGACCAUAAACUGGAUUCAUAUAUAUAACUGGCAGCUGGGUUUCAUUUACUGAAAGAUGCGAUAUUAACUAUCGCGAUACCAUAUUAAAUAAAAAUAAAAAUGCGGGUCAUUACAUACUACCCCUCUUAACAAAAAUUUCGUCCCGAAAUUUGCAUAUCUCUGCUAAAAUAGUUCUGGGUAUUUUUCCUUCAUCUUGUCUUCAAAUUUCCACGUAGCUUCUCUUAUUUGCGGUGUCUCCAUAAGAUUUUCACUGAUGUGAUUUAGGCUGAUUUCGCAAGUGUCCACGUAUUGCUGGCAAGAGGGUGCGGGUGUUCCCAAUUGCUGAACCUCGUUGUCUGUUGGGGCAUUGCGUGGAGUAGUGACCUUUUUGGCCACAAUUGUAACAAUCUUUAGUUCCAGCCCGACAGAUACCCCUAUGCAUCUUACCGCAAUUUGGGCAAGGUGAAAUUCCUUUCUGACUUUGGCUACCCCUAGUUGACUCGAGGUUAGUCUGUGCCUCGUGCCUUGGUUGAAUAAACUGUUCGGCCCUUUCAUAUUCUUGCCAUACUUGCUUAUUAAUCGGAUUGAUAUUGUCUUCAUUGUUGUCCCACUUGCGCUUCCCUUUGAGAGUAUGUGAGGCUCCUGGUAAGUCGUUUGGCGUUGAGAUCAAUGGUGGGGCUGACUUGUCUGACGGCAUUGCAGCUUCAAUGUCAAGUGCCCUGUUCAGAGACUCCGUGUAUGAGAGUCCUCCGUGGCUUGCUAGAGCCAUCUUUAUUUCGUACCGCAGUCCGGCACAAAAUUUAUCUGCCAUCUUCUCCUCUGUGUCCACUUGUUGGGAGCAAACCUGACAGGUUGCAGAAUUCCUUAUCGUAUUCAACCACAGAUUUCUUUCCUUGCUUUAACUCGUAGAACUCAGCUUCUUUCUUCUUCCUAUAGCUUUUCGGAAUAUAUUUAUCAUAUAAUCCUGUCUUAAAAUCUUCCCAAGUAUAACUUGCCCAUUGUUCGUGUCAGAAUUUUUCGCGUGCUUCCCACCAGAAGUCAGCGAUCCUUUAGUUGGAAAGAGACGCAAGAUAGGCGCUCCUCAUCAGUACAACGCAGAAAGUUGAAAAUGCGUUCCAUUGCACGCACCCAAAUCUCAGCUUCAGCCGGUUCACUCGUUCCGUCAAACGUAGGUGGAUUUUGCCUUAAAAAGAGUUCUUCGACUCUCCUAGUGGGGGCGAGGGGUGGGUUAUGUCCUCGAGAUCUUGUGGUUCUUCGGUACAGCGUUACGUUUCUGCGAUUGUUAUUGUUUCUCCAGGGCGUCCUCUCUUAGGGGCAUUCUGAUAGCAAAGUGUGCCAAUUAGUACACUCUAGCAUAAUCUAAUACAACCUCAAAGAAUUCUUGUAAGGUAACUUAUUCUAACUUGUAAACAAGUCAACUCCAAUGACAACAUUGAUGUAGUAAGCUUUAAGGGUCCUUAGCAUCUCAAAUCAUGAGUCAUAACAAUCUUAAGCAUAUAAUAUCUCAUCAUCUAAAUUGGAUACUUAGCAUAAGUCAUGGAGAUUUAUAGCGCUAUAAAAUCAUGAGCUUAAGAAUUUCUAUACGUAUCACUUAUCUUGCUCCUUACUAUAGCCACAAAAGAUACAAUCUAAUUUUUCUAUGUUUGCUUCUAUGUUCUGUCGUAGUGGUGAUCUCAUAUCUUAAUAGCUCUAUGUUCAUAGGAUUCAUUCCAUAGGCAUACUUAAUCCAUUCGUAAAUCAUUUCAUUAAUUCUUGUAUGCGUUGAAAUAAAGUUUCAUUGAUUUAAUACUACUUUUUGUAAACAUUAACUCAAACUUGGAAAGCUUACCAUUCUGCUUCGUUGAGUGUGAUGCGAUGAAGUUAGCUUUGUCUUGAAUUUAGAAUUUAGUGAUCCAUUUAGUUUGGCUUAUCUCUUGCUCAGCAACAACUGCUCUGAUACCACUCUGUCACGACCGGCCUUAAUUAGGAUAAUUAAUCCGGGAAAACCAUGACUGGGGAAGGGAAAUUAAGAAGCGGGUUUAGAAAGGGGGCAUAAAAGAAUACUCAAAGAGCUUGAAUAGCGUGAAAUAUUCCUUAAAAAGGAAAAAGGCAUAGUUCGCAUAAAAAGGGUACUCAAGAACUUGUAUAGCGUUAUAUUCCUUAAAAGGAAAAAGGCAUCGUUAGGGGCUUGGCUAAAACAUUAUCAGAGUUUGCAACGGAAGGCGUAACUGAAAUAAUCAGUGUUUACAGCGGAAGCAUAACUGGAUACAUGUAUGAAGACAUGUAUCCUUUCUGAGCCUACUUUAAGUUCGACAAAAACUCACUCAGCAACAUUCAUCGCCCAUCACAGCUCAACCUGCACAACAUAAACACGAAGGGCUAAGUACAAAGUACUUAGUGGGCAGUUGCCAAGCAUAUAACAUAACAUCAUAAAAUACAAAUCGCAUAAGAGGCAUAGUUUCUUUCAAUCCUUUCUCAUUAAACAUUUCCAAAUUCAUAAAAGCAUAGGCAUUCUUCUCAUUAACAAUCAUAAACACGCAUCGUGUCGUGGAGAAGGCCUUCCAACGAACACGGGCAUCGCCCGUGAGAGGGGGCCUCCCUCAGCGGUCACGGCAUCGUACUAUUGAGGGAGGCCUCCCCCAAUAGACGCUGUAACACUGGCAUACUGGCAUCGCGCCGCGAGAGAGGCCUCUCUAGCGGACACGGGCAUCGCGCCGUGAGGAAGGCCUCCUCAGGGACACGGCAUCGUACUGUUGAGGGAGGCCUCCCCCAACAGACGCCAUCAAAUAGGCAUAAACUUAUCAGCGUAAACAUUCAAGCGUAAAUAAGCGUAAUCAAGCGUAUCAUUUAGCUAAAGCUAAUAAAGCAUACCAACUUGAAGAUCCAAUUUGCAUUUUAAAGCAUAACACUGCAUAGCAUUUUAUUUACGCGUAAGAAAUUGCCCACCUGAUAGCAAAGUUUUGCUAAGGUAUUACUCCUUGUGUAGUUUUACUCUCGCGCUUGACCUUAAUCACGAGAAUAUAAAAUAAGACAUUGCCUCGAGGAAAAUUCUUAAUUAAUGAGAAGCGUAAUUUAACUAUGCAUGAUCUUAUGCAUGAAUAUCUUCUGAGCAUAAUCGGGAAUUCUACUAUUAAUCCUCGUUAAUAGAUUUAGCUAAUUCUCGUCUAGCCGGUCGAAUAAAACUGUGAUUCUUCUUCUCAUCGGAAUAUUCUAGUCGUAAAUAAACUCGCAUUUGUAUUGAUUGAAAAAAACUAACUCGCUUUAAACGAGGUGUGACCUUGUAAAAUUAUCGGGCUUUUCGAUAGAAACAUCAUUACUAGGUAACCUCAAAUAAUUAAUAGGCUCAAACGAGAGUAGCCAAAUUAAUUAAAUAAACCAGUGGCUUUAAGAAAUAAAAUAUAGUGCUUUGAAGUCCGAAGUCGAAGUCCAAAAACAUUAAUUAAUAAAACUGGGCGCUACAAUUUAUGAAUAGAAUCGGCUCCCACUGAUAAAUAAUUGGGCUCAUCAUAAUAGAUACUGAAAUGCUUAACUGAAAGAAGUAACUUCAGCUCAAGCUUUAAAAGAAUUAAAGCCCAACUUAAAAAGUCUUCGACCCAAAACAAUUAAAAUAGGGGUCCAAAUAAUAAUUAAUGUGGACUGAAAAGAAUUAAUCUUAGCCAAAAAGGCAAUUUAAUCGGCCCAAAUGAUGAAUUAAACUGGCCCAACGAAAUAUAAAUGGGACUAGAAUAAUAGCCCAUCAUAAAAUAUGCAUCAGCCCAACUCCUUAAUUAAAUCGAGCCCAAUAGAAAUAAUGAGAAUGGCCAUUUAAAUAAAAGACUGGCCUAGUUUGAAUUUAAAUGUAAGCUCAUCAAUUAAAAUCAAGCCCGAACUUAAAAGUCUUUGGCCCAAAACAAUUAAAAGGUGAGGCCCAAAAUAAUUAAAAUUGGAAGCCCAAUUUAAAAAAAAACAAGCUCAAAAUUCGGCCCACAUAAAAGUAGAGGAAAGCCCAAACAAUUAAAAUUUUAAAGCCCAACUCUCUCUCUUUCUCUCACAAACUAUCGGACUCUCUCUCUUUCUCAAAACAAUUCACGCCUUUCUCUCUCUUUUCUCUCUCUCAAGGAGCUGCUCGCCCCUUUUCAAACUCAGCGUUCGAUCGGCCCUCCCAAAAAUCGGCCGGCUUCUUCUUCCUCAGCCGUUCAGCCAUCACUGCUCCGGUCAGCUUCGACCGGCGACUCAUGAAACCCCGGUAUCCCAGAGCCCAUCAUCGAGCCCUGAUUCUGGAAAUCAUCACCGCUGUCGCACCUCCGUCUGGAAUCCGGCGAGCGGUCGCCUCCUGGAAGCAGCGCCGUUCGUCUCCCUCGUCUCAAACAUGGAAUCGGGCGGUGCCGGCCGCUCUCUCUCUUUCUCGGCCAAGAUCUGAUCUUGCCGGCGUCAGCUGUCCCUGCGCCUAGUUCCGAUGCCAACGGAAGCUCCUUCGUCGUCGUGUAAGUUCUGCUCCGGUCCCUGAAACCGGUUGGUCUCCUCCCUCAGCCAUUCCGCUUCCGCUUUGAUGUUCCUGAGUUUCCGGCGACUGGAGUAAGAAGGCCUACGCCUCUCACCGCGCCGCUGCUGCCUUUGGACCAUUGCUGCUGUUCCUCCCGGCGGCAGGUGAAGGCCCGCCGAUCCGCUGCUGUUGUCGGAGUUCGAUGGAGCAGCAAGUAUUUGCCGUUGCCAUCGUCGGCUCAGCUUCGACCGAACGGAGCAACCGCCCUUCUAAAAGCUAAGUCUUUGUUCUAUCUUCCUCUUCUUCUUUGUAUAAGUCUUUAUAUAAACAAUGGUGUGUGGUUUGAAGUUAAAGGGGUCUGUUCUGUGUUCCUAUUUUGAUAAAGUUAGAGAUUAAACUAGGAACUGUGGUUUGCUAAUGUCAUAAGAAUUCUCAUCGUCUGACUCAUGUGAAGAAAUUGAAUUACAUAUGAAUUGAUUUCUGUGCUUGUGACUUUGCUAAGUCCAUAACCUAUACUCAUCUAUACAUUCAAUAUUUCUUCUUAAUCAUGCUUGUUGGAUGAAAUGCAAAUGGGAUUCGAAUGAAGGGAGCUUAGUAUAUACCUGUAAUUGCUUGUUGUUGGUGGCUGUUUGUUGCCAUUGAAUUUAAUGAGGAGAUAGCUGAAAUUUUCAGAUGCUUAUUGACAUAUGCAGGGGAAUCAAGAAUGGACUGGUGGAAAAACUUAAACCAAAGCUUACAUGUUCGAAGUUUGGCAGCAGUAAAUGAAAUCUCUCAUUCCUUUGGUUGUUGAAGAACUAAGGAAUGAGUAAAAGGGCUGAUAAUAGCCUUAAAGAAUCGAAUAUGGUGGGGAGCAAAGGGUGGUGGGUAGCUGAUGGAGUAGGUGGGAAGUUUGGUGGAGCAAAGGCGUGUAAACUUUAAUUGAUUGGAAAAAAAACUUUUGCUUUUGCUAAUUGAUUUGGUUGUCUUCUUGAUUGAUUCUGUAUAUUUAAUCGCGUUUUUGCAAUCAAAUACUGGCUUCUGCUCAUUAUUCGUGUAUAAAUUAAAUACGUAUAUUUAAUCUGCGUUGCAGUCGGAAUAAUUUCUCGACUUCUAUUAGCACUAAUAAA
rnacentral:lncRNA from 1 species